UGGGAAUUGUGCAGCAUGAGAUUUUGAACAACAGAAGGCAGAAGGCAGGUCUUGACUAAGGUGAGUACCAUGGUUUCACUUUCAUAUCCUUGACAAGUUAUUUUUUCUCAACACCACUUGACAGUUUUGUCCUCUUGAAAACUUAUCGUGGCCUCUAGUGACUAUUAUAGAGGUAAACAAAAGUUGCUCACCUAAAAAAAGAAUGGCUCUUUAUUAAGCAAUUUUCUAAGACAAAUUGACUCGGUUGAGUUUUUAUUAAGCAAUAUGUUGUGAGAAGUGUUGUUGUACAAAUGACAAUCUUUUCGACUGUAUAUCUUUUUUCAUUUUCUUUUUCUUUUUAUUUUUUAUUUUAUAGGAGUUUACGAUCCUUCUUGUUGGGACAUCCACUUUCAAGGAAGCCGUGAAAAUGGGUGUUGAAGUAUAUCACCAUUUAAAGGCAAACUUGGAUGCUUCUUAUAUAAUGUACACCACACUUUUUGUUAUUUUCUGGGGCUGUGACCAGUGAUGGAGUUUCAAAACUAUUUUUGAGGCAGAUUAGUGUUGCUUGAGUUAAUCAAAUUUUUAACACGAAUGAUUUCUCAUACAAGAAUGGUUUCAUGUAACAAUUCGAAUGGCUAAUUAGAGCACCAUACAAACCGAUGGAGUUACUAAAGUCUGAAUGGGCAACAAUCAGAAAGUCUCCACCAUGGCUGAUUGAUUCGUAGGGCUUGGAGUUCACCUAAUGGAUGGUCAAGAUACUAGAUGCCAAUACCAAAAGUCCAAAUGCAACAAGCUGCAGGUUUUCGUGCACUAGUCCUACUAGAUUAUUUCUCAACUUUGUAUCCAUCCUUGUGGAUUUGAUUAUGCGGGUUCGAUAAUUUAGCAUAGUACUAGAAGUCAUUAUGUGGACAUUUUUCAUUUUACAAAUUCUCACAUAAGAAAAUUGUGUUUGCAGAUACCACUUUUUU